AUACGGAGGAUCCGAGCGUUAUCCGGAUUUAUUGGGUUUAAAGGGUGCGUAGGUGGACAGGUCAGUCAGGGGUGAAAGUUUGCAGCUUAACUGUAAAAUUGCCUUUGAUACUGCUUGUCUUGAGUGCAAAUGAGGUAGGCGGAAUGCGUUGUGUAGCGGUGAAAUGCUUAGAUAUGACACAGAACUCCGAUUGCGAAGGCAGCUGGCCGGGCCUGCAUUGACGCUCAGGCACGAAAGCGUGGGGAUCGAACAGGAUUAGAUACCCUGGUAGUCCACGCUGUAAACGAUGGACACUCGUUGUCGGCGACAGACAGUCGGCGGCCAAGCGAAAGUGAUAAGUGUCCCACCUGGGGAGUACGGUCGCAAGGCUGAAACUCAAAUGAAUUGGCGGGG
rnacentral:rRNA from 1 species